GUGAGGAAUAUUGCGCAAUGGAGGCAACUCUGACGCAGCCAUGCCGCGUGCAGGAAGAAGGCGCUACGCGUUGUAAACUGCUUUUAACCGGGAAGAAACCCCAGGACGUGUCCUGGGUUGACGGUACCGGAGGAAUAAGCACCGGCUAACUUCGUGCCAGCAGCCGCGGUCAUACGAAGGGUGCAAGCGUUAUCCGGAUUCAUUGGGUUUAAAGGGUGCGUAGGCGGAGCGUUAAGUCAGUGGUGAAAUCCUGCAGCUUAACUGUAGACUUGCCAUUGAUACUGGCGCUCUUGAGUGCGCUUGAAGUGGGCGGAAUGUGCCGUGUAGCGGUGAAAUGCUUAGAUAUGGCACAGAACACCAAUUGCGAAGGCAGCUCACUAAGGCGAUACUGACGCUGAGGCACGAAAGCGUGGGGAUCGAACAGGAUUAGAAACCCUGGUAGUCC
rnacentral:rRNA from 1 species